rnacentral:rRNA from 1 species
AUUGAACGCUGGCGGCAGGCCUAACACAUGCAAGUCGGACGGUGGCACAGAGAGCUUGCUCUUGGGUGACGAGUGGCGGACGGGUGAGUAAUGUCUGGGGAUCUGCCCGAUAGAGGGGGAUAACCACUGGAAACGGUGGCUAAUACCGCAUAACGUCGCAAGACCAAAGAGGGGGACCUUCGGGCCUCUCACUAUCGGAUGAACCCAGAUGGGAUUAGCUAGUAGGCGGGGUAAUGGCCCACCUAGGCGACGAUCCCUAGCUGGUCUGAGAGGAUGACCAGCCACACGGGAACUGAGACACGGUCCAGACUCCUACGGGAGGCAGCAGUGGGGAAUAUUGCACAAUGGGCGCAAGCCUGAUGCAGCCAUGCCGCGUGUAUGAAGAAGGCCUUCGGGUUGUAAAGUACUUUCAGCGGGGAGGAAGGCGGCAAGGUUAAUAACCUUGCCGAUUGACGUUACCCGCAGAAGAAGCACCGGCUAACUCCGUGCCAGCCGCCGCCGUAA